GAGGAAGAAACACAGAGGUCUUCCAUCUCUGGUUACCUCCCUGCUAGCUGCAACAACAGGAACUGGGCCCAUCUGAAGCCAGAGCCUGGCGCUUCUUCCAGGUGUGUCACGUGGUUGCAGGGACGCAAGCACUUGUGCCAUCCUAGCUGCUUUCCCAGGCUUGUUAGCACGGAGCUGGAUCAGAACUGGAGCAGCUGGGACUUGAACCAGUGCCCAUGUGGCAUGUCAGAACCUCAGACAGGUGCAGCUUCAGGGAUGAGAGUCAGGAUGUGAGCAGGGGCUGAUUUGGCAUAAGAGGCUAAGCUACUGCCUGCGAUGCCGGCAUCUCAUAUGGGAAAGAGGCAAAAUGCUUCUCCCAAGAUCCCACCAGCCAAAGAACUGGGAGAAAGCUCAACUCCUGAUUUGCUGGCCAAGUUCCAUGUUUCAUCUGCAGGAAGUCUCCUCAGCAGGUGCUGCUACUUCCCUGUUGGAGAUGCUGAGUACCCUCAGACAGGGCCAGGUUCCUGUCACAUUCAGGGAGUGAUGGGUACCAUGGCGGUUGUUGGUAUGAGCAUGAUGCCUUCUCUGGAGGUAGGUAGAGGGGUGCAUUUCAUUCCCAUGGCUGAACAGAACUGCCAGAGCGUAGUGU